UACGGAGGGUGCAAGCGUUAUCCGGAUUCACUGGGCUUAAAGGGUGCGUAGGCGGGAAUGUAAGUCAGUGGUGAAAUCUCCGUGCUUAACAUGGAAACUGCCAUUGAUACUAUGUUUCUUGAAUUUUCUGGAGGUCAGCGGAAUAUGUCAUGUAGCGGUGAAAUGCUUAGAUAUGACAUAGAACAUCGAUUGCGAAGGCAGCUCGCUACGCUAUUAUUGACACUGAGGCACGAAAGCGUGGGGAUCAAACAGG
rnacentral:rRNA from 1 species